AUGCCAGCUCUCUAUCAGCAGCAAGAUGCCUCACAGGAAAUUCUCGGGUCCUUGGGCUUCUUGCCUCGGAAACACAGCAGCCAGCAUCGUGGGAAAUCGAAGAGCUUCCCUAAGGAUGACCCUUUCAAGCCUGUUCACCUCACAGCGUUUUUAGGGUGGCAUGACCCACAUCAUCCAGGAAGUUGACAGGACAGGAACUAAGGUAAACAAGAAAGAAAUCAUGGAGACUGUAACCAUUGUGGAAACCCCACCCAUGAUGGUUGUGAGCAUUGUGGCAUAUGUAGAAACCCCUCGAGGCCUCCGAACCCUCAAGACUGUAUUGGCUGAGUAUAUCAGUGAUGAGUGUAAAGGAGGUAGGGACUCACGACUCCAGCAGCAUUGGUACAAAUCUAAGAAGGCUUUCACCGAGUACUGUAAGCAAUGGCAGGAUAACACAGGCAAGAAACAGCUAGUCAAGAACAAUGCAUCUACUGACUAUGACCUGUCUGAUAAGAGCAUCAACCCACUGGGUGGCUUUGUCCAUUAUGGUGAAGUGACCAAUGACUGCAUCACGCUCAAAGGCUGUGUGGUGGGCACCAAGAAGCAAGUGCUUACUCUUCGUAAGUCCUUGCUGGUCCAGACCAAACGUUGGGCUCUAGAGAAAAUUGACCUAAAAUUUAUUGACACCACCUCCAAGUUUGGCCAUGGUCGUUUCCAGACCAUGGAGAAGAAAGCAUUUAUGAGACCACUCAAGAAAGAUCUCAUUGCCAAGGAAGAAGGUGCUUGA